rnacentral:lncRNA from 1 species
UGGACAGAUCUCCUCUUGGACCAGUGACUCCUUUAAAGUCAGGACUUCAGUGUUUUGAUUGAGGCAGAAAUGCUGCUGCUGCUCCUCAGAUACAAUGGAGAACAUAUUUCUUCCUCGGUAGUAGUAUCUGCUUUCUAAUGGCACCAGUUCAUGAGUUCCUGAGUUUAUCUGCUCUAAAAUCUCCCAGUGUCCCUUCCAGCUGCAAAGAUAGAGGAAAACUCCCUGCUUCAAAAGUCUAAUUUCAUGUAUUUCCUCAGAGACAUUCUGCGUUCUCCAGUCUCCAAAGACAAUUCUGGACAGGAGAUACCUGCCAGACUCCAGAGAGCAGGUUUAGAUUAGAUCUUAACAAGAAAUCUCUUAGUGUGAGGGUGGUGAGGCCUUGAGGUUGCCCAGAGCAGCUGUGGCUGCCCCUGGAUCUCUGGAAAUGUCCAAGACCAGGUUGGACAGGGCUUGGAGCCACCUUGGGAUAGUGGAAGGUAUCCCUGACAUGGCAAGAAGUUGGAACAAGAUGAUCUUGAAGGUCCUUUCCAAUUCAAACCAUUCUGUGAUUCUAUGUGUGCUAAGAUCUCUUCCAUCCUUCAAAUGCAGCAGAUUUUCUGUCUCCUCUCUCUCCAUAACAGUGUCAGUACUUCUCAUUUGGAAAUAAAUCCUCUCAGCUGCAACACUUUGCUUCAUGAAUGCCUUUUGAAGGCAAGUAAGUAUUUUUGUCUUUGUAAACUUUGUGCUUGGUGGGAUGCAAUUUUUCCACCUUCAAUCUCACUCCUAGGUCAAAUAUGCAGGAUUUUUCUUCAGAAAUCCCUAAACCAAUAUGUGUUUUCUGUGUCCCAAUGUCUCAAAUGGCCAACAAAUAAUAUUUCAAUUUCUAGAAGUUGUGGGGCAAGUAUUAUAUUCUAAGUUUUUUUUCCCCACAUUCUUCUGUUCAACUUCUUUAUUACUCCGUCCAUUUUCCUGCAGUGGCUGUUUCAGCUGGCUUGAAGGAGGCAGAUUCAAAUGGAAACUCACAUGUUCAACAGUGAAGCAGCACGAAGUUGUCAGGUAAUUCAAGUUCAGCUUGAAGGAGGCAGAUUCAAAUGGAAACUCAAAUGUUCAACAGUGAAGCAGCACAAAGUUGUCAGGCUUGACCAGAUGAGAUUCGGACGCUCCUUGGGAUCACUUAAACGCGAUUUAUUGACCAGCAGCAAGUCGGUCCUUGCCCUGGGAGAGGCAGAGGCGGCGGGGUCGAGUCCGGCUGCUGCAAUUCCCCCAUUUUCCCACCAGAUGGCAGCCGCCACAAAGGAAAAAUCCAGCGGAGAAUCUGCAAGUCACGGGAAGGAGCCGGAACGGGAACACCCGGGCUGGGCAGCAUGGCGGGGCCGGCUAGGGAAGGGAGAAUCCCCCGGAGAGGCAGGUCUCUUUAUUAUCUAUCUAUCUAUCUAUCUAUCUAUCUAUCUAUCUAUCUAUCUAUCUAUCUAUCUAUCUAUCUAUCUAUCUAUCUAUCUAUCUAU